rnacentral:snoRNA from 1 species
UUGCCAAAAGCCUUCCAGCGUCUUGGGUCUAGUGAGACAGUACAUUCCUGCAGUGCUUGCUGGAGGGUCUGAAAUGGUUCGAGGUGGUGCCUUGGUUGGCCUUUUCUCAGAGCCUGGUCAUGGACAUUUCAGAUAGUU